UUGGAUUCAAUUUUUAUUUAAUUAAAAAAAAAAACUUGGGAAAUGAGUUUAGCUAGCUUAAGCUAUUCCAUGGCUGCUUAUGAAUCUUGUAUAUGCUAAAGCUUAUAAAUUUGUACCAUGCCAUAAACAGUGUAUAGCCCAAUUUUGCCCACAACCCAAAAUUUCAGACCCAACUACCAGCCCAAUAACAAACCCAUUUCCAGCAGCCCAAAACAAAAAAAAAAAUCUACCCUCUAUUGCACCUAACCCUAGACUGCCGCCGCACUAGCCUCUGCCGAAGUUGGCCACUUGCUCUGCCACCGCCGCACGUCCCACGUCGCCCACUUGUGCCAUCAAAUCACCUGCAAACAAUAAAGAAAAACCACAACAGCAAGCAACAAGGGGCUUUGUUUUUUAUUUUAUUUUCGGUAUAAAAACCAAUGAAAAACAUAUUGUAAAAAGGGGGGCGGAUCUUUAUGUUUGUAAAAAGGGAGGAUUUCCUUUUGAAAAAGCAAAAAACAAAGAGAAAUAAAAACAGAGAAAAGGUUUUAGUUCCCAUUUGUUCAUUGUUAUUUUUUUUAUUUUUUUUAUUUUGAUUUGUGUAAAAUAUAUAUGUAUAUACGCAUAUAGAAAAAAAAGAAGGAAAAAAAGUACCUUUUUUAUUUUUUCGGCCACCGUAGCGCGGCGGCGACGUGGCGGCCCUGUUCGUCGAUUUCUGGGAUCUGGUCGGAUGCUUGAGAGGGAAAAAGGAAGGUUUUUGAGUUUUUUUUUAAAGAA
rnacentral:lncRNA from 1 species